UUUGGUUAAGUUAGAAAGGGCGCACGGUGGAUGCCUUGACACUAGGAGUCGAUGAAGGACGGGACUAACGCCGAUAUGCUUCGGGGAGCUGUAAGUAAGCUUUGAUCCGAAGAUUUCCGAAUGGGGAAACCCACCAUACGUAAUGGUAUGGUAUCCUUAUCUGAAUACAUAGGGUAAGGAAGACAGACCCAGGGAACUGAAACAUCUAAGUACCUGGAGGAAGAGAAAGCAAAUGCGAUUUCCUGAGUAGCGGCGAGCGAAACGGAACAUAGCCCAAACCAAGAGGCUUGCCUCUUGGGGUUGUAGGACAUUCUAUACGGAGUUACAAAGGAACGAGGUAGACGAAGCGACCUGGAAAGGUCCGUCGUAGAGGGUAACAACCCCGUAGUCGAAACUUCGUUCUCUCUUGAAUGUAUCCUGAGUACGGCGGAACACGUGAAAUUCCGUCGGAAUCUGGGAGGACCAUCUCCCAAGGCUAAAUACUCCCUAGUGAUCGAUAGUGAACCAGUACCGUGAGGGAAAGGUGAAAAGCACCCCGGAAGGGGAGUGAAAGAGAUCCUGAAACCGUGUGCCUACAAAUAGUCAGAGCCCGUUAACGGGUGAUGGCGUGCCUUUUGUAGAAUGAACCGGCGAGUUACGAUCCCGUGCGAGGUUAAGCUGAAGAGGCGGAGCCGCAGCGAAAGCGAGUCUGAAUAGGGCGUUUAGUACGUGGUCGUAGACCCGAAACCAGGUGAUCUACCCAUGUCCAGGGUGAAGUUCAGGUAACACUGAAUGGAGGCCCGAACCCACGCACGUUGAAAAGUGCGGGGAUGAGGUGUGGGUAGCGGAGAAAUUCCAAUCGAACCUGGAGAUAGCUGGUUCUCCCCGAAAUAGCUUUAGGGCUAGCCUUAAGUGUAAGAGUCUUGGAGGUAGAGCACUGAUUGGACUAGGGGUCCUCAUCGGAUUACCGAAUUCAGUCAAACUCCGAAUGCCAAUGACUUAUCCUUAGGAGUCAGACUGCGAGUGAUAAGAUCCGUAGUCAAAAGGGAAACAGCCCAGACCGCCAGCUAAGGUCCCAAAGUGUGUAUUAAGUGGAAAAGGAUGUGGAGUUGCUUAGACAACUAGGAUGUUGGCUUAGAAGCAGCCACCAUUUAAAGAGUGCGUAAUAGCUCACUAGUCGAGUGACUCUGCGCCGAAAAUGUACCGGGGCUAAAUACACCACCGAAGCUGCGGAUUGAUACCGAAUGGUAUCAGUGGUAGGGGAGCGUUCUAAGGACAGUGAAGUCAGACCGGAAGGACUGGUGGAGUGCUUAGAAGUGAGAAUGCCGGUAUGAGUAGCGAAAGACGGGUGAGAAUCCCGUCCACCGAAUGCCUAAGGUUUCCUGAGGAAGGCUCGUCCGCUCAGGGUUAGUCAGGACCUAAGCCGAGGCCGACAGGCGUAGGCGAUGGACAACAGGUUGAUAUUCCUGUACCACCUCUUUAUCGUUUGAGCAAUGGAGGGACGCAGAAGGAUAGAAGAAGCGUGCGAUUGGUUGUGCACGUCCAAGCAGUUAGGCUGAUAAGUAGGCAAAUCCGCUUAUCGUGAAGGCUGAGCUGUGAUGGGGAAGCUCCUUAUGGAGCGAAGUCUUUGAUUCCCCGCUGCCAAGAAAAGCUUCUAGCGAGAUAAAAGGUGCCUGUACCGCAAACCGACACAGGUAGGCGAGGAGAGAAUCCUAAGGUGUGCGAGAGAACUCUGGUUAAGGAACUCGGCAAAAUGACCCCGUAACUUCGGGAGAAGGGGUGCUUUCUUAACGGAAAGCCGCAGUGAAUAGGCCCAAGCGACUGUUUAGCAAAAACACAGCUCUCUGCGAAGCCGUAAGGCGAAGUAUAGGGGGUGACACCUGCCCGGUGCUGGAAGGUUAAGGAGAGGGGUUAGCGUAAGCGAAGCUCUGAACUGAAGCCCCAGUAAACGGCGGCCGUAACUAUAACGGUCCUAAGGUAGCGAAAUUCCUUGUCGGGUAAGUUCCGACCCGCACGAAAGGUGUAACGAUUUGGGCACUGUCUCAACCAGAGACUCGGUGAAAUUAUAGUACCUGUGAAGAUGCAGGUUACCCGCGACAGGACGGAAAGACCCCGUGGAGCUUUACUGUAGCCUGAUAUUGAAUUUUGGUACAGUUUGUACAGGAUAGGCGGGAGCCUUUGAAACCGGAGCGCUAGCUUCGGUGGAGGCGCUGGUGGGAUACCGCCCUGACUGUAUUGAAAUUCUAACCUACGGGUCUUAUCGACCCGGGAGACAGUGUCAGGUGGGCAGUUUGACUGGGGCGGUCGCCUCCUAAAGUGUAACGGAGGCGCCCAAAGGUUCCCUCAGAAUGGUUGGAAAUCAUUCGUAGAGUGCAAAGGCAUAAGGGAGCUUGACUGCGAGACCUACAAGUCGAGCAGGGACGAAAGUCGGGCUUAGUGAUCCGGUGGUUCCGCAUGGAAGGGCCAUCGCUCAACGGAUAAAAGCUACCCCGGGGAUAACAGGCUUAUCUCCCCCAAGAGUCCACAUCGACGGGGAGGUUUGGCACCUCGAUGUCGGCUCAUCGCAUCCUGGGGCUGUAGUCGGUCCCAAGGGUUGGGCUGUUCGCCCAUUAAAGCGGUACGCGAGCUGGGUUCAGAACGUCGUGAGACAGUUCGGUCCCUAUCCGUCGUGGGCGUAGGAAAUUUGAGAGGAGCUGUCCUUAGUACGAGAGGACCGGGAUGGACGCACCGCUGGUGUACCAGUUGUUCUGCCAAGGGCAUAGCUGGGUAGCUAUGUGCGGAAGGGAUAAGUGCUGAAAGCAUCUAAGCAUGAAGCCCCCCUCAAGAUGAGAUUUCCCAUAGCGUAAGCUAGUAAGAUCCCUGAAAGAUGAUCAGGUUGAUAGGUUCGAGGUGGAAGCAUGGUGACAUGUGGAGCUGACGAAUACUAAUAGAUCGAGGACUUAACCAUAUAA
rnacentral:rRNA from 5 species